UACGUAGGUGGCAAGCGUUAUCCGGAAUUAUUGGGCGUAAAGCGCGCGUAGGCGGUUUUUUAAGUCUGAUGUGAAAGCCCACGGCUCAACCGUGGAGGGUCAUUGGAAACUGGAAAACUUGAGUGCAGAAGAGGAAAGUGGAAUUCCAUGUGUAGCGGUGAAAUGCGCGGAGAUAUGGAGGAACACCAGUGGCGAAGGCGACUUUCUGGUCUGUAACUGACGCUGAUGUGCGAAAGCGUGGGGAUCAAACAGGAUUAG
rnacentral:rRNA from 1 species